rnacentral:rRNA from 1 species
AUUGAACGCUGGCGGCAUGCCUUACACAUGCAAGUCGAACGGCAGCACGGGAGCAAUCCUGGUGGCGAGUGGCGAACGGGUGAGUAAAGUAUCGGAACGUGCCCAGUCGUGGGGGAUAACGUAGCGAAAGUUACGCUAAUACCGCAUACGAUCUAUGGAUGAAAGCGGGGGAUCGCAAGACCUCGCGCGAUUGGAGCGGACGAUAUCAGAUUAGGUAGUUGGUGGGGUAAAGGCCCACCAAGCCGACGAUCUGUAGCUGGUCUGAGAGGACGACCAGCCACACUGGGACUGAGACACGGCCCAGACUCCUACGGGAGGCAGCAGUGGGGAAUUUUGGACAAUGGGCGAAAGCCUGAUCCAGCCAUGCCGCGUGCAGGAUGAAGGCCUUCGGGUUGUAAACUGCUUUUGUACGGAACGAAAAGGACUGCCCUAAUACGGUGGUCCCAUGACGGUACCGUAAGAAUAAGCACCGGCUAACUACGUGCCAGCAGCCGCCGUAA